rnacentral:rRNA from 1 species
AUUGAACGCUGGCGGCAGGCCUAACACAUGCAAGUCGAACGAGUGGCGGACGGGUGAGUAAUGUCUGGGAAACUGCCUGAUGGAGGGGGAUAACUACUGGAAACGGUAGCUAAUACCGCAUACCAUCAGAUGUGCCCAGAUGGGAUUAGCUUGUUGGUGGGGUAAAGGCGAACAAGGGCGACGAUCCCUAGCGGGUCUGAGAGGAUGACCAGCCACACUGGAACGGAGACACGGUCCAGACUCCUACGGGAGGCAGCAGUGGGGAAUAUUGGACAAUGGGCGAAAGCCUGAUGCAGCCAGGCCGCGUGUAUGAAGAAGGCCUUCGGGUUGUAAAGUACUUUCAGCGGGGAGGCGUUACCCGCAGAAUAAGCACCGGCUAACUCCGUGCCAGCAGCCGCGGUAAUAC